rfam:Scytonema hofmannii PCC 7110 genomic scaffold Scaffold1, whole genome shotgun sequence.
GUAAGCAAUCCUCGGCUAAAGACCGAGGGCUUCAGCAAAAGUUGAAGCCCUAGCUUACCAGACUCAGUACUUCGCGUACUACGUUCAGAGUAAGUGUUAAAGUUCCUACCUAUGGAUGCGUAGCUAGUCUGUAGCUCUAGAACCAAAAGAUUAAACAGGUGUAUGGGUUAAACCAGUGUCUUUUGGAUGUGCCGAUUCUGAACAUUGUCGAAGCUAACAUUAC